rnacentral:tRNA from 1 species
CAGGAAAUGUGCCUGAACAAAGGGUUACUUUGAUAGAGUAAAUAUAGGGGUUCAAACCCCCUCAUCUCCUCACUAGAAAG